CAUUAUAUGCUAAUUAUAAUACAUUAGCAUGCUAAAAGCCACGCCCAACAGCACCAUGACAGUUUACCAAUGUCAUGACAAUGUCAGGAAGUCACUCUAUAUGGUCUAAAAAGGGGAGGAACCCUCAGUUCCUAGAAGCACACAUCCCUUUCCCAGAAAGCUCAUGAAUAAUCCAGCCCACGUUUAACAUAUAAUUGAGAAAUAACUAGAAGUAUCCUUAAUGGAGCAGUGCAAGCCACUGCUCUGCCUAUGGAGUAGCCAUUCUUUUAUUCCCUCACUUUCUUAAUACAUUUGUGUUUACUUUAUGGACUUGCCUUGAUUUCUUUCUUGUGUGAGAUCCAAGAACCCUCCCUUGGGGUCUGGAUUCAGACUCCUUUCUGGUAACAUCUUUCUGGCAAACCACUAAGGGAUUAUACUGAAAUGACCCCCGACCCAAAGGAAAAUCUUCUGUGUGCAGCACCACUUGGCCAACUUUGGGUAAGUGAGGCGCAUUUAACUCGGUAAAGAAUGGAAUUGGGUUAGAGACCCAACUUAGAAAAGUUAGAGUCUGCCCUAAGAUAGAGAGGGUUAAAGACCCCCUCUUAAUAAAAGGCAAGGGUGCUUGACUGAACCUGUUUGGGGCCCAACUUAGGAAGGUUAGAGCCCUUCCUAAGAUUUAUGGGGUUGGAGGCCCCUCUCAGUAAAGUUCCUCUCGGCUAAAAGUGGGUUUGGCACUACUGGAUGUUAACUGCUAUUUUCUUUGGACUUAUCUGCCUUGCACUCUUUGCUGAUGGCUACGGGAGACAGAAUUAAACAUAUUCAGGAUCAAAGGACAUGGCGAGCUAUUUUUCCCCAAAAGGGAGACACUCGAGAGCUGAUGGGACUUCUGGGUAAGAUCCGUUUGUGACUGAAAAGCAGCUGCUUGAACUUUUGAUUAAGUCUAACUGCAGUGGGUGGGUCUUUCUCUGGCCUCCCUGAGUUCCUCACCUUCCCCACUCUGCUUCAGGCAAUGCUUUUCUCUCUUUCUCUUCUUUCCCUGUCCUAUCUUUUCUGUCAUUCAGGGGAACCUUCUUGCCCAGAGAUCGCAUGUUGAAAAAUGUCCUUGGGAGCUUUGUCUUGGUCUCUGCCAUAUCUUGUAUACAUGUGGUGGUACUUUCUCUUGGUCUCUGCCAUCCAGGGAAGAGGAAUUUGGGGGUACAUGUCAUAGUUAUCUCUGAAAAUUAAAUUGAGCAGUUAAAAGCCAAUGCAAUCUCAAAAUUGACUGCUCUAGUCUCCUGGGAAGAGCAAUAAAAUAUUUCCAAUUCUGCAGCUUAGCAGCUAAGGCUUUGUGUUUUUCCAGUGGUGGCACAGGUUCAGGGUUCAAUUCCUGGCUUAGGGAAUAAGCCCUUUCUGGUUUGAUAUCUGCAUGACAUUUACCAUUUGUUGAUUAUCUUCCCCUCCACAAACCAUGUUGAAUUUUUCUUUCUUUGAGGACAGAAAUAUUGGCCAUUUGGCCUGGCUAAAUUUGGGUAAUAAGAAAUUUAAAAGGAUCUUUUUAAAAAGAGUAUUACAUUUAAAAGUCAGCCUAAUUAAAAGAGGAUAUUCAAGCUCUAAAAGCCUGGGACUCCUUGUGAACAACAAGUAGUGCCACAGACCUUGUUUUGGGAAAAAACUCUUUUUUUUUUUUUUUCUCAUGAAACCCCAGGAACCAGAAGUGGAGAGAUCCCUUCACAAUCUAAGGCUCUUUUCUCUUUUGCAUUGCAUUAUCAGGUGUUUUUAACCCUUGGGGGGAUCAGAAAUUGCUCCACAUUAUAAUAGAACUUUGGUGUGUAAUAACUGGGUAGGAAAUAUGCUUUGGGGAAUAGCUAAUGACAGUUAAAGGUGAAUACUUGGCUUUUCACAUGUUUGGAUCAGAGGAGCAUGCUCUUGGCCACCUAGAAGGUAUGGCAAUGUGCUCAUCCCUGCCCCACACUGAGACCUAAGACUCCCAUGGAAGAUGGGGUAAUCACAGAGUAGGUUGAGUGGCUUUGAAUUGCUUUGCAGUGAAAUGCACAGUAAAAUCAUUGCACUGUCUUGUUCUGUAGCAUUUGUCUUUUUUGGGAUUUAAGAUAUGAUAUAAAAUGGGACCCUUAAAUUUUGGGGGAUCUUUUUUGCUUUCCAGCUCUGCCUAUUUAUUAAGCCAUAGAAACUGCAUGUUUUCCUGGCCCUGUUCCUCCAAGGGCUCCACCCUGAAGCAGUAAUCUGAUUAAGAACCUGGCAAAUAAAAAAUCUUAAAACUACUGGAACAUUUCUGUCUAUGUAUUUAUAUGUGUUGUGUGUGUGUGAUAUGAAAGAGCUUUGAUUGUUUUCAAAAAUCAUAAGAGCUUAAAUCUAACAUUCUAUCAGAAAAUAAAAACGAAUGAAUGCCUUUUAGUCCAUGUGACUUUAGUAAAGUUUCAGAAAUAAAAACAGUUUUGAAGAUCAUUGGUAAAAUUCAAAUGUCUUCAAAAUUCAGACAUUUGGUCUGAAGUAGGUUAAAUAUUAAGUUUGCUAGAUGUGUUAGGGUCAUAAACGGCUUCUUUGAUUUUUGAAAAUUGUUCAACCUACUUACUUUGAAGCAGAUUCUAGGUAAAGCCUGGGGAUAUGUGGUGUUAGCCAUGCCUCCUAGUUAUGCUGGAUAGUCAAACCUUAUCUGCACUUCUUUCUGUGUCCUAGGCUCCAAAGGUAGUACAUAGUUAAAAUCACCUACAAUCCAGGUUUUUCCACCAAUGGUUCCUAAGAGUUCUUUCUUUAGGCUGUAUUUGUGAAUAUAUGUUUUUGGUAGGUGUUCCAAAAUUAUUAGAAACUUCUGUAACUCUGAUAUAACUUAGUGUAUGCUAUUAAUAGUUAUAAUAAUUGUUAUGUAAAAUUGUUGUAUGCCACAGAAGUCACCAAAAUUCUUAGUCAAUUGUGGCUUUAAUAGAGACUGCCCUAAAGUGUUUUGUCAUCCAGGGACAAUUGUUGCCUUGUUUUUUUUUUUUUUUUUUUUUUUUUUUCUUUAGAGGUGGUUUCAUAAUCAGCUACAGAACUCUAAUAGGUGUUCUUAAAUGCAGGUUUCUGAUAAAUUUGGAGAUUUUGAUGUUAGAAUAGAAGAAAAAACUUUCAGGAUCUCCUGGAGUGCUGAAAUGUUCACGAAUAUCAGGCAGAACAGGAGUUAACAACAUGGACUGGACUAAUAGAAGACUAAAGUAAUCUUUUUGACUUUUUGCUUAAAAGGAUCCUCUGUUUUGUUUUUCAGAGCCAAUAAAACUUUUCUUUUGAGUGAUUUGCAGCUUUUAACAAGUAAGUAAAAUAUACUCCUGUGAACAAAAUUUGGAGCAUAUUUGUUUCUCUCUACCUGAUUUCUCCAGAAUUUGGAAACUAUUUACUGAACCUGCUUAUUUCUGUGAACCAACCAGUGAUCUCUUAUGGCUGUUCAAAAGUAACAAGAGAGCAGCAACAUGGAUGCAGGGGGAGGCCAUAAUCAUAAGGGAGUUAACACAAGAAGAAACAACAAAAUUCCACAUGUUUUCAUGGAUAAGUGGGAGCUUAACACUGAGCAUGGGAACAUGAACAUGAACACGAGAAAUAUAGACACUGUGGACUCCUAGAGGUAGGUGGUAGGGAAUGGAAUGUUGGUUGAAAAACUACUUAUUGAACGUUAGGCUCACUACCUGGGUCCAAAAUUGCCAUGUAACAAUCCUACACAUGUAACCCCUGUAUCUCCCUGUAUCUUAAACAAAAGUUGAAAUUCGGAAAAGAAACUGCCUUCACGGUAUCCCUUAUGUGUUGCUAUAUCGUGUUUUCAGUUUCAUUUGUCUCAAGAUAUUUCAUGAUUUCCCUUUUUUGAUCCAUUGCUUAUUCAUGUGUGUGUUGUUUUGUUUCCACAUAUUUGUGUAUUUUCCAAUUGUCCUGUUGUUAUUAAUUUCUAGAUCCAUCUUAUUCUGAUUGAAAAAGAGGUUUGCUAUUAUUUCAAUCUUCUUAAAUUUGUUAAGACUUGGUUUGUGGUGUAACAUGUAACUUGUCCUGGAGAAUGUUCCAGGUGUGCUUGAAAAGGAUGUCUAUUCUGCAAAAUGGAUAUGCAAAAAUGGCUAGCAUUCCUAUACACCAACAAUAGGCAAGCAGGGAGCCAAAUCAUGAUUGAACUCCCAUUCACAAUUUCUACACAAAGACGGAAAUACCUAGAAACACAGCUAACAAGGGAAAUGAAGGACCUCUUUAAGGAGAACCACAAACCACUUCUCAAAGGAAUCAGAGAGAA
rnacentral:lncRNA from 1 species